CUGGAAUAGACUUCCCGCAGCUCUGUAGGCACUUUAAAAUAGUAGACAUAAUCCAUCUUGUAAUGGUGGAAACAGAGGCAGUUACCCUCUUAUUAUGACUAAAAGGGAUAAUGAAUAGUCAGAUUUUCCUAAUUCCAUAUCCCGAUAUAUUUUAAAAGAUCUCACCACAUCCAGAUUAUACACAUCUCGCCUUUUGAGGUU